rnacentral:rRNA from 1 species
UACGGAGGAGGUAAGCGUUAUCCGGAAUUAUUGGGCGUAAAGCGUCCGUAGGAGGCCAUGCAAGUCUGCUGUCAAAGCAUGGAGCUUAACUCCAUAGAGGCAGUGGAAACUGAAUAGCUAGAGUUCGGUAGGGGUAGCGGGAAUUCCCAGUGUAGCGGUGAAAUGCGUAGAGAUUGGGAAGAACAUCGGUGGCGAAAGCGCGCUACUGGGCCGAAACUGACAAUGAGGGACGAAAGAUAGGGGAGCGAAAGGG